rnacentral:rRNA from 1 species
CCUACGGGAGGCAGCAGUGGGGAAUAUUGCACAAUGGGCGCAACCCUGAACCAGCCACGCCGCGUGAACGAUGAAGUAUUUCGGUAUGUAAAGCUCUAUCAGCAGGGAAGAAAAUGACGGUACGUGACUAAGAAGCCACGGAUAACUACGAGCCAGUAGCCGCGGUAACACGUAGGAGGCAAGGGUUAUCCGGAUUUACUGGGUGUAAAGGGAGCGUAGAGGGUUCUGAAAGCCAGAUGUGAAAGCCCUGGGCUCAACCCCGAGACUGCAUUUGAAACUGUAAGGCUUGAGUGUCGGAGAGGCAGGCGGAAUUCCUAGUGUAGCGGUGAAAUGCGUAGAUAUUAGGAGGAACACCAGUGGCGAAGGCAGCCUGCUGGAC